UACGUAGGGUGCGAGCGUUAAUCGGAAUUACUGGGCGUAAAGCGUGCGCAGGCGGUUUUGUAAGCCAGAUGUGAAAUCCCCGGGCUCAACCUGGGAAUUGCAUUUGUGACUGCACGGCUAGAGUGUGUCAGAGGGGGGUAGAAUUCCACGUGUAGCAGUGAAAUGCGUAGAGAUGUGGAGGAAUACCGAUGGCGAAGGCAGCCCCCCUGGGAUAACACUGACGCUCAUGCACGAAAGCGUGGGGAGCAAACAGG
rnacentral:rRNA from 1 species